AAGUCGUAACAAGGUUUCCGUAGGUGAACCUGCGGCUAGGAUCAUUA
rnacentral:rRNA from 1 species